rnacentral:rRNA from 1 species
GUGGGGAAUCUUCCACAAUGGACGAAAGUCUGAUGGAGCAACGCCGCGUGAGUGAAGAAGGGUUUCGGCUCGUAAAGCUCUGUUGUCGGGGACGAAUGUGCAGUAUUUGAAUAAAGUAGUGUAAUGACGGUACCUGACGAGGAAGCCACGGCUAACUACGUGCCAGCAGCCGCGGUAAUACGUAGGUGGCAAGCGUUGUCCGGAAUUAUUGGGCGUAAAGGGAGCGCAGGCGGGAAGGUAAGUCGGUCUUAAAAGUGCGGGGCUCAACCCCGUGAUGGGAUCGAAACUAUCUUUCUUGAGUGCAGGAGAGGAAAGUGGAAUUCCUAGGGUAGCGGUGAAAUGCGUAGAGAUCGGGAGGAACACCAGUGGCGAAGGCGGCUUACUGGACUGUAACUGACGCUGAGGCGCGAAAGUGUGGGGAGCAAACAGGAUUAGAUACCCCAGUAGUCC